rnacentral:rRNA from 1 species
AAAUUGAAGAGUUUGAUCAUGGCUCAGAUUGAACGCUGGCGGCAGGCCUAACACAUGCAAGUCGAACGGUAACAGGAAGAAGCUUGCUUCUUUGCUGACGAGUGGCGGACGGGUGAGUAAUGUCUGGGAAACUGCCUGAUGGAGGGGGAUAACUACUGGAAACGGUAGCUAAUACCGCAUAAUGUCGCAAGACCAAAGAGGGGGACCUUCGGGCCUCUUGCCAUCGGAUGUGCCCAGAUGGGAUUAGCUAGUAGGUGGGGUAACG